AUCGAACGCUGGCGGCAGGCCUAACACAUGCAAGUCGAGCGAGCGGCGGACGGGUGAGUAACGUCUGGGAAACUGCCUGAGGGAGGGGGAUAACUACUGGAAACGGUAGCUAAUACCGCAUACCAUCAGAUGUGCCCAGAUGGGAUUAGUUAUGGGGUGGGGUAAUGGCUCACCAAGGCGACGAUCCCUAGCUGGUCUGAGAGGAUGACCAGCCACACUGGAACUGGUAGACGGUCCAGACUCCUACGGGAGGCAGCAGUGGGGAUGAUUGCACAAUGGGCGCAAGCGUGAUGCAGCCAUGCCGCGUGUGUGAAGAAGGCCUUCGGGUUGUAAAGUACUUUCAGCGAGGAGGCGUUACUCGCAGAAGAAGCACCGGCUAACUCCGUGCCAGCCGCCGCGGUAAUUC
rnacentral:rRNA from 1 species